UCUAGAUUCGUUUAUAGUGGACCCGGAAGAUUACGAUGUUGGGAAAUGUUGCAUUGAGGAUAUAAGUAAUCCUCCGUCCUAUCUUCAUAACCUACCCGAUGGUCGAAAGGCAAUUUCCAUUCAAAGCUAAUAUGUAAUGAGAAACAUUGAAACGCAGGUGAUAUAGAAGGGAGGAUCGAGCGGCGACUGAACCAUCUCCGCGAAAAAUUUGGGGAAUCAUCGCUACAACCUCAAAUUGUCGCAGUGGGCACGAGCAACUCAACAAAAGCAACGAUGGUUAUUUUUGGCGGCGCGGAGUAUAUCGCAGAUAAUAUUGUGCAUGCUGUAUGCAUUUGUAUGCAUAUCACUUAUGUGCUAAAUUUGCGAUAUACUCCGGACUGCAAACCGCUGUGGCUCUUUGUUCAGUCAUACCUGUUCAAAAUCCCAGCGUCCAUUAUUGAGCUCCCGAAGAGCACACGUGAUUUGCUAAAAGGUAUAGAUAAUUAAACUGGAAGAUCGUUUUUUUUUCUUAAAAUAAUCUUUUUUCAAGUGAAAAGAAUAGAAUAAAUGAAUUAAACUCAAAACCCCAAAAUAUGUUUUAAAUAAAUGUUGUACUCACAAAUAGCUUAAGGUGAAGGUGCAGUGCGUUUACUUUCAAAACUAUGCAUUUUGCCUCGCGUUUUCUCGAGCACAAAUCUGAAAAUCUGCCUCAAUCUGAAAAUGUACCACAAUGUUUACUGCGAGUGAGCGAGCAACGAGUUAUAUUUUCAGCUUCAUAGACCUGCUGGAUGAUCAGAUUUAUGAUCAUGGGAAUUAGAGCAGAAUGAGAGGCGGCCAUUGUGAUAGCCAUUUUUAGAUUUCACAAACCAUGUCCUUAAUCAGACCGUCACACAGUAGUUUAGUCUGCAAAAAAUGACAGACAAAACCUCUAGCUCAGUGCUUCCCAAACUGUGCGCCGCGGCGCCCUGGGGCGCCUUAAAUCUUUUUCAGGGGCGCCGUGGGCCGAUUAAAAGUAAGGCCUGGCAAACCUUCUCAACUUAUGUUAUAAUUGUAUUACAUUGAUCGAAAGCAUCAGACGAAAGUUGAAUACGAAAAUCGAACAAAGAAGACAAUUAAGCUGCUCGCCACAGAAGUUGAAUGCAACUUUUUGGGAGUGAAAACAUUAAGAUAGCUUUGAGAUAUCGCUCACCAGUUCAAAAAAAAAUUAAUAUCUAUGUUCAAAGUUUUUCAAAUUCCAUGUUCCAAAUUUAUGUUGACAAACAUUGUAAAGGUAUAUACAGUAAACGUUCGGAAAACUGCAACAUGUUUACGUUUCACUUAGCGAACGAAAUUCGAUAACUGCAACGACUGACAAACUUCAACAACCC